AAAAAAAAAAAAAAGGAAAAAAAUGCCCUCAUCAAAGUUAAAGCUUAACAAAUAUAUAUAUAUAAAGAAAAGUGCAAAAGGAAACCUCAAAAAAGGAAAGGUUAGGUUACCUUCUGGCAGGCCUGACUUCAAAAGCUCUUCAACUAAGUGUAUAUUCAAAGCAACUUGAUCAGUUUUUUUACAAGUAAUCUGUAUCUAUCUUCAUAAUUUAAUCUUUCAAGUUACAAUUGACAGCUCCAGAUUAUUGUCCUGCAAGAAUGGCCAAGCCAAACGAAUGCUAGAAAAGCACAGUUCGUAAAGGGCAUCAUCAGUUAAGAUCUUAGAGGUCCAGACCUUGAAUGUCUUCUCCAGUGAUAUUUACAUUAACUUCAUCUCCUUUUUCUUUGUUUUCUUCGGCACUCAAAACAAUCAGCGCACACAGAGUUACUUCUAGGCGAGUGACUGGAAUGGAGUUUGCUGGGUGAUAUUUUCAGGUCUUCCACCAGUACCUGACGAAGCUUCUCAUUCUCCUCCAUAAGCUUUUCAAUGACUUGCUGGUGUUUCAACACCUAGGUGGAAGGGAAAUGUAAUCAUCUAACAAAUUUCAUCCAAGAAAAAUGAAUUGCAGACUUGCAGAAAUGUUCGCACACUUUAACUGCAUUGCAAGUGUUAUUAACACAAAUUCGCAACACAACCACCACGCAACAGUUUAGAAUCUCCCAUGCAUCUCAAAAUAAAUCCAUUCAAACAAAUUUAGCUACUCCAAUUAUGAAUGAUUACAAAAUUGAGUAAUUCAUUGAGAAUCCCAUUUUAAAAAAUUCUUUUAGCUCUUUUAGCCACUAAAUGCUACCAUAGUUUCAUUGAUGAUCCAAAUUUUUUAUGGUAACUACAUCUUGACAAAAUGGCUUCAAGAUAAGCAGAGAAGAUAUGAAAUAUUACCAUUUGAAGCAGGUUGUUUUCAGAACGCAAGCGUCCAGCCUGUAAACAUUUCAUCAAAGAAUUAAACACAAUAUUUAAAAAAUUUCAGAACAUAUAUAAUCUCAGGUACAUGCAAACAAAAGUCUGCAAAAAAAUCUUCACGUUUGACAAUGAAAAUAUGUAAACAAGAGAUUUUGACAAUCCCUGGACACAUUGCUGCCUUCUACAGGCUUAUAGCUGCUGCCAGGAGAACUAUGUGGUUCUUUGCUUUUGUGCACUCAGAAAAAGCAUUGGGGGACAAGCAAAUAAUUUGCUCCAAUUACACAAAUCCUAGCUGAAAAUAUGAAUCAAGCCUAGUGAAGGCAAUCCAUUAAAAAUUAACAAAAGCAGUUGAGUGAUAAAUUAAAAAGGACAGCAGCCAUGGAUGUGUUCUCAGGGAACAACAUCCAAACAUUUGCACAUUACCUAAAGAAAUCCAUCAAUAAACAGACCAAGGGAUAGAUAAAUAUCAUUGUGCAUACCACUUCAUUUAGGUUUUUAUCAUCUUCUUUCAGAAUUGGAUUGUUCAGAAAACCGCUAAUGACCUUUUCCGUUCGACUACCAAAAGGUGUGUCAACUAUACUGCUUGUUGGCGUGGAGUUUUCAUAGCUUGAAUGUGGAAUCAUACUACCAUAUCCAUGCAUGCUUUCAGGUGUUUGGUCAGGAAGUUUUGUUGCCAGUUGUGUGAUACUUCCCAAUGGAUUUUGGAUUGAGGGUCCAUUCACUGUGCUCAAGCCGCUUUGCAUUGACAU
rnacentral:misc_RNA from 1 species